rnacentral:rRNA from 1 species
GACGAACGCUGGCGGCGUGCUUAACACAUGCAAGUCGAGCGGAAAGGCCCUGCUUGCAGGGUACUCGAGUGGCGAACGGGUGAGUAACACGUGGGUGAUCUGCCCUGCACUUCGGGAUAAGCCUGGGAAACUGGGUCUAAUACCGGAUAGGAGCCAUUUUUAGUGUGAUGGUUGGAAAGUUUUUUCGGUGUAGGAUGAGCUCGCGGCCUAUCAGCUUGUUGGUGGGGUAAUGGCCUACCAAGGCGGCGACGGGUAGCCGGCCUGAGAGGGUGGACGGCCACAUUGGGACUGAGAUACGGCCCAGACUCCUACGGGAGGCAGCAGUGGGGAAUAUUGCACAAUGGGCGCAAGCCUGAUGCAGCGACGCCGCGUGGGGGAUGACGGACUUCGGGUUGUAAACUCCUUUCGCUAGGGACGAAGCUUUUUGUGACGGUACCUAGAUAAGAAGCACCGGCUAACUACGUG